UUGGCCGAAGCUCGAGGCUCAGCCAAUCGCGGCGCGGGCCGCGCGGCGUUGUGGGGGCUGUAGUCUCGCGGUGGCCGCCCACUGGACCAGGAGCACGAGGCGCAGCGCCCAGACGGCGCGUGGCCAGAUGGCUGGCCGAGGAGCGUAGCCGCGGUGACCGGGACACCACCACCGAGGAGGCCGCGCUGGGCGGGCGGAGGCGCUGCAGGUUUGCGGUGAAAAGACGGAGAGCGUGAAGGCGCUGAGGAAGACAGCGACGUCGCGGUGCCACGAGAGAAGCUGGCGGGAGGCGCCCUUCUGUGGGGGAGGCGGUGGAGGAAGAACUCCGUGCAAAGGCCCUGAGGCAGGAGGAGAGCGAGGGCCCAGCGCGGGCCCCGAGUGCGGGAGGGUGCAGAGCAGACCCGGAGGCGGGCUGAAGGUCAGAGUGGAGAGGGCUUUGUCGGCGGGGCCAGAGCUUGUUCUAAAGGCCCGGGGAGGACAGUGCACGGCCCUCGGCGUUGAGGAGACACGCACCGUGUAUCCAGCGUCGUGUUCACGCCUGUCUCGCGGGCUCACACGUGUGAUGGACGCGGUGACUGCGGCUCACAGCCUCGGCCACCUGAACCCAGCCCCCUUUUGUUCUCUGAGCUGCUGACUCGCGUUGAUCUGCCACAGUAUGCCCGGAGCUGAGUUUGGGAUCUGGAACUGGGGAACCCCCGACUGCUCCAUGAAAUAGUAAGGGUCAUUUGGAGCCUUUUCGAACCUGGAAGGGAGGCGGGGAGGAGCAGAGGGUGGAAGAAAAAGUGAGAUGCUCUGAGAUGAGAGCAGCUUGGGUGAAGAAGACGGUGGACACCGGGGGUGGGGGGGAGGAUGGCAGGGGGGCGCUAGAGGAUUUUUAUCCUCUAGGAUAACAAGAACAUCUGCCAGAUUCCUUCAAAAUACUUAGAUUUGGAAAUCUUCCUCCAUCUCUUCCCUAUAAGUAGAGCCUGAGUAGGGGAUUCUGGUGCAAAUGGUUUACUGGGGGAGUGCCUCAGGAGAAAGCUGAGAUGCUGUCGGAGCUGGGCUCUGGAGCACAAAUUAUGUCUAGAGUUGGCCCGGCUCGAAGGCAAGGGGACUGGCCUUCUGUUCCCCACAGCAUUCGGUCAUUGGCAGCCCAGUGAAGCGGGCAUCUGUGAGCUCUCAGCAGUCCACACCCACAGCAGCCAGGGGAUGGCCUCACGAGCCGGAUGGGGCAAUUUUAGCAUCUAUUUCAUGUUCCUCACGUUUUUCAAGGUCUCCCGAAUAUCCUGUGACUGUGGAAGGGGUUAUAAAAAUUGAGGAAAGGGAUGGAUUUCACUUCUGAGUUGAUGAAAUAAUUAACCACUGGACUAAUUCAUCAAAACAAGAGUCAGGGCCACAGGUGACUAUGAGACUGUGUGUGGUCUCCCCUGCUCCCACCAUGUGCAAACUCCUGGGAGAGAAUUGGAAUCCCACAAGACUGAGAGUGGGGUUACACUGACACCAGCAUAGCUGAGCCUCAUGACAACCCAGCAAGUCGUGUAUCCCUACUUCCCUGAAAAGAAAACCAAAGUGCAAAAAGGUGAAGAUAGUGACAUUAUAAAUCCAAAGAAGGGUGCGGAUUUUUUUUUUUUUUUUUUUUUUUUUUUUUUGGCGGAACGCAGGCCUCCCACUGCCGCGGCCUCUCCUGCCGCAGAGCACAGGCUCCGGACGCUCAGGCCCAGCGGCCAUGGCUCACGGGCCCAGCCGCUCCGCGGUAUGUGGGAUCCUCCUGGACCGGGGCACAAACCCGCGUCCCCUGCAUCGGCAGGCGGACUCCCAACCACUGCGCCACCAGGGAAGCCCAGGGGUGAGGAUUUUAGUAAAAGCAGUGGCAGAGGAGAGAAAGGGAAGAGAAGUUCAUGGUUUCUGAGCACUUUCAUGGCACCGGGCUCUAUGAUGCAGACACACAUGCUUUGCAUGCAGUUAAUCCAUGACCAACUCAUUUAGUCCUGGAAACCAUCCUGAGAGAGUAUUACCCCGGGCUAAGGCCCAGGAAAUGGAGACUCUGGGGAGGUAAGGUGUUAAGACAGGCCCACUAUUUGCUGCCCAGUACCCAUUCUUUCCUUCCUUACGACGGAACCCAGCUUCCUUAGGUGUAACAACGUGUCUGGUUAGAAGAAUUGCUACCUAAGUUCCCACUGGCCAAACUUGGGACAACUUGAGCAUUAUAGCAAUUUGACAGUUUGAACCUAUAACAUAUUUAACUUUUUAAACAAUGCAAUAGUCCAUGCGUUAAAAGAGAGGGGAUGUAAAGAAGGGGGGCGGGUCUUCUUUACAAAAGAAUGACAGCAAAUCAGUGUGAGAUUUAAAAAUCGCCACUUUGUGACCCUCAGUGAAUUAACUGAAUCACAGAAAUCAGUGGAUCCUAAGCUGCUGAGUGACAACUCCCAAGUCUCCCACAGAUUGCUGAACACUCAUAAAGAGAAAACCAUCACAUUGAUGAGGCCUGGAGGUCACUUCCUUAACUAAGUGGCUGGACUUAGCAUCACAGAGAGUGGGACAGCAUGACGUGAUGCCCCUCCCCAGGAGAUGUAAGGGACACACAGUGUCCCCUUUGGAGUGUCGUGGCCAAAAAUGCGUGACCUGAAUCCAAUCGUGAGGAAACAAUCAGACGAAUCCAGAAUGUGAGCUCCUACAAGACAGCUGUCAUGGACUCUUCCAGAAGGCUAAUGUCGUGAAAAAAACAAGUUUCAAAACAUGAAAGAAGCAUAACAAUGAGACACAGCCGUGAAUCUUGAUUAUAUCCUGGAUUAAAAUGACAGUAACAGCAACAAAGCUAUAAAAAGGCAAAACGUGGUUGUGCGGGACAUGGCAUGCCCGGCCACCAGAGAAGGCUCUCUGCCUGCACAUCUGGAACAUGUGGCUUCCUCGGCUGACUCAGCAGGACGAGUGAGCCUCAGAGCCUAGAGAACGGAGCCCCAGCUUUCCCUGCCUCGGCAACUGUCACCCCCACUGACAUCCACUGGCCAUUCAGGCCCACUGCCCCUCCCACCUGCAAGAGUGGGGAAGUGCUGUCUUCUGUGAGUAGAAGGAGAAAGGCACCAUCUAAACACUAGACCAUCAGGCACAACUGGUGAAUGAACAGCUCACUGACUCCUUACUGUUUCCUGAGAAGGUCCACGUAAGAAAGAUGUACUGAUAAUAAAAUUCCAGACGCUGAAAGAUCACAUUGGGACAAAAUCACAGUCCAUUCUGUGCACAGGUGUCGCGAUGACAGCAUGCACACGUCUUCUGCCACACAGUAACCAUGUUCCAUGGAUCUUGUCUCACGAAGGUGUUUCCUGGGUGCUACGAUUGUGACCCAGCGACGCAGGCAUGUUUGUACCUUUGAAAGCAAGUUGUUGCUGCUCGUCGCUUGCCUGCCUUUCCCUUUUGCUGUGUGCCGAGACACGCUUCCUCUGGGCUAAAGUUUGGAGACCACUGGGGAGGAGUGGAGCCCUGAUGAGAAGGGGGCUGGAGUGACGGAUACUCUCACGCAGGAGGCUCGGGUGGGCCCACGGCCUGGGAGCCACCCAGAGGAGUCACUGAGGGAGUGGGGCCCCGGUGCUGGGGAGCAUCUCCUAGUUUUCUGUGACUCUCCACCUCUGAACCUCAGGCUCUUCAUCUGUAGGAUGGGGGUGAUUCAGGCCCUGGUAACCACCCCCUACAGGCCUGGGAAACGAGAGUGGCUGGAUGCGGGGCCAUCUGUAGCGUUCCGGAUGUUUGGGCUCGCGCUGAGGCUUUUGCUGAGCGUACUGUGAGCUGGAUGGCUCCUGAGAGGUGGAGGAUAGGGGCAGAGCCAGCUCCGUUGAAGGAGAGUGGGGUUUGGAGUGAAGCAAGGAACGCAGAAACCUGGUUGAAGAGGAAACUUGGGAAAGGCGGUUAUGAUUCCAAGUGGCAGAUGGAUAGAUGUUGUUCAGUAAUAGAUGGCAGGACCUCUCUUUCUUUCCAUGUAAUACAUUUUCACUAAAGUUUGCCUCAGUCA